GAGAUUAAAAUGUACAUUUAAACAUAAUUAAAUAACAUUUCUUUAAACAACAUUCCGUUUUAAGCACACAAUAAAAAACGAUUUUUCUGUCAUAAUUAACAUUUUCGUUCCUACGCAGAACUGCUUUGGCGGAAGCAUAAUUCCCGAAACCAGGGGAAUAUGAUGCGCCUUAGUAUAGAGGUGACAAUAACAUAGUGACGUCACCAUCUAUGUAUAGAAAAGACAAAGUUAAAUUAAAAAAAAUGCUUGAUAAGAUUGGGAACUUUUCUUUAAAAAAAUGCACGCAGGUUUUAUUUUAAUGACAUCACCAUUCACAAGGGUAGAUGAUAUAAUACUUAUACACUCUUUGUUACUUUUAUUGCAACAUGUUAAUACAGUGACCAUUGAAAAACCAGCAGCACGUAGAUGAGCAUCUUACAGUGUAAAACGUGCAAGGAAUGCUGCUCGAAGGGCUGAUAAGAAGAUUAGUAUGUUUCACAACGAAAAAAUAGCAAUCCAUGUUUUAUUUACAGAGACUGGUGGACAUUUUUGAAACCAUUUCGUACAUGAAAAGCAUGGUCAUCUUAUUCUCAUGAAGAAAAGUUUAAUUUUAUAUAGCAAUACAAUGCGUGUGAUUGCCUAAAUUUCACUCACUAAAAAAGUGUGUAUAGUUUCCAUAUUCUGACGAAUUUGCCUAUAAAACAAUUCCUUGGUUUGUUACUGCCCCAUGUCAUUCUAAUUUACUGUUAAACUUGUAAGCAUUUGUCAAUUAUAAUGCAGCUAACAACGUUUUCUACUUUGUUUCCAGUUACUCUUGCUAAGAAACAUUCCAGUUACUCUUGCUAAGAAACAUUCUGCAACUCCUGAAACCAGACAUGGGAACAUCACUUUAAUAUCUUUAAUAGGCUGCCAAUAUGCAAGACUGUUGAAAAGAAGCUUCAAUUACCAAUAGGGUAGGUUAAAAAACAACAGGGAAAUGUCUGAAGGAGAUUAAAGAAAGAUCUCCUAUUCUUUCCAGAGGUCAGAUCAUCAUGAAGCUGUCACAUUUAAGAAAAGCCCAACCAGACAACACGCCGAAGCAUUCCAGGAGUGGGAGGCUAAUAAAGCCAAAGUUAAAAGGACCAGACUUUGUCUAACUAUAGACAUUCUGCGAUGUUGAAAUACAUUUAAAAACACCAGUUUGAAUCAUCAUCCUCAUUGAAUGUUUCCUUUUUGCCUUGUUAACAAAUGUGUUAUAUCUUUGUUCAAUUUAAAUAAGUUAAUAUUACUAGUCCAAAAGAGCAGAUUCAUCUUAAAACGUUGAGAAUCUAUUGACACAAUGGUUGUGUUGGCAAUAGUACUUUCAUUUACAAAUAUAAUGACAAUAGUUAAAAUAAUUAACAUUUUUAACUAAGCUUCAUUGUAGAAUUGUUGUAGUUUUGAGACUUGUCAGUUGUUUAUAGUAGAUUUUUAUGAACAAAUAUGUUGCACAAUAUCUGAUUGUUUAUGGUGGAAAAGUGAACAAAUAUUUAAGACAUAAAUUUCUAAACAAUAGAUUGUAACCAUGUUACAGUCCAUUAAAUCUAUUUCAGAUGCUGAGUUUCAGUACAGUUCUUUAAUUUCUUUCUGUUGAAUGGGUUAUAAGAAACACAUAUUUUGGCUCAUCUGAGCACAUUAUUCUCAUAGUGAGCUUUUGUGAGCGCAUUUUGUGUUUCAUGCGGUGCCAAUGUGUACACGCUUGAUACCACAUUUAUCAUCCAAUCUUCGUUAUACUAAAUAAGGAUUUUGUCCCACAUAUAUCCAGUACAAGAUUGUAACUGGUUUGUGUGAGGUCAAUCUUGAUAACAUCUACUCCAAGUUCAAAUCUGGGUAAGAUGUGUCCUGAAUAAAGAUCACAUGUUAAAAUUUUAUUUAAAAUAAAACGUGACUUCUUUUGAUGCCGCAUUUAUGCUUCAGUCUUGAUUAAAUGUUAUAUUUCACAAUACCUAGUCUAAGUUAUGUGUGUCCACUAAGUCCAGUUAAGAUUAUUGGUUCACCUUGAACUCAUGACAGCGAAUCAGGGAUAUCAUGGCCAACUUGUCU